AAUCAACGCUGGCGGCGUGCCUCAAACAUGCAAGUCGAACGAUUAAACUCUCCUUCGGGAGAGAUAUAAAGUGGCGCACGGGUGAGUAACACGUAGGUAAUGUGCCUUUGGGUGGGGAAUAACUUAGGGAAACUUAAGCUAAUACCGCAUAAUGCAGCGGCUCCUUCGGGAGACAGUUGUUAAAGAUUUAUCGCCUGAAGAGCAGCCUGCGGCAGAUUAGCUAGUUGGUAAGGUAACGGCUUACCAAGGCUACGAUCUGUAUCCGACCUGAGAGGGUGGUCGGACACACUGACACUGAAUAACGGGUCAGACUCCUACGGGAGGCAGCAGUCGGGAAUUUUGGGCAAUGGGCGAAAGCCUGACCCAGCAACGCCGCGUGAAGGAUGAAGUCUUUCGGGAUGUAAACUUCGUAAGAGUAGGAAGAAUGAAUGACGGUACUAUUUGUAAGGUCCGGCUAACUACGUGCCAGCAGCCGCGGUAAUACGUAGGGACCAAGCGUUGUUCGGAUUUACUGGGCGUAAAGGGCGCGUAGGCGGCAAUUCAAGUCACUUGUGAAAUCUCUGAGCUUAACUCAGAACGGUCAAGUGAUACUGCUUUGCUAGAGUACAGAAGGGGCAAUCGGAAUUCUUGGUGUAGCGGUGAAAUGCGUAGAUAUCAAGAGGAACACCAGAGGUGAAGACGGGUUGCUGGGCUGAUACUGACGCUGAGGCGCGAAAGCUAGGGUAGCAAACGGGAUUAGAUACCCCGGUAGUCCUAGCCCUAAACGAUGAAUACUUGGUGUCUGGAGUUUUAUUCUCCGGGUGCCGUCGCUAACGUUUUUAGUAUCCGC
rnacentral:rRNA from 1 species